rnacentral:rRNA from 1 species
AUUGAACGCUGGCGGCAUGCUUUACACAUGCAAGUCGAACGGCAGCGCGGGCUUCGGCCUGGCGGCGAGUGGCGAACGGGUGAGUAAUACAUCGGAACGUGCCCAGUAGUGGGGGAUAGCUCGGCGAAAGCCGGAUUAAUACCGCAUACGACCUGAGGGUGAAAGCGGGGGAUCUUCGGACCUCGCGCUAUUGGAGCGGCCGAUGGCAGAUUAGCUAGUUGGUGGGGUAAAGGCCUACCAAGGCGACGAUCUGUAGCUGGCCUGAGAGGACGACCAGCCACACUGGAGCUGGAACACGGCCCAGACUCCUACGGGAGGCAGCAGUGGGGAAUGUUGGACAAUGGGCGAAAGCCUGAUCCAGCAAUGCCGCGUGUGUGAUGAAGGCCUUCGGGUUGUAAAGCACUUUUGGCGGGAACGAAAAGGACUGUGCCAAUACCACGGUUCGGUGACGGUACCCGCAGAAUAAGCACCGGCUAACUACGUG